rnacentral:rRNA from 1 species
CCUACGGGGGGCAGCAGUCGAGAAUCUUCCGCAAUGGGCGAAAGCCUGACGGAGCAAUGCCGCGUGAGGGAAGAAUGCCUUCGGGUUGUAAACCUCUGUCACCCGGGACGAAAUUUGACGGUACCGGGAGAGGAAGUCACGGCUAACUACGUGCCAGCAGCCGCGGUAACACGUAGGUGGCAAGCGUUAUUCGGAUUUACUGGGCGUAAAGGGUCCGCAGGGGGCCUGACAAGUCUGUCGUGAAAGGCCAAGGCUCAACCUUGGCACUGCGGUGGAAACAGUCGGGCUAGAGUCAGUGAGGGGCAGACGGAACACCUGGUGUAGCGGUGGAAUGCGUAGAUAUCAGGUGGAACACCUAUGGCGAAGGCGGUCUGCUGGCACAUGACUGACCCUCAGGGACGAAAGCGUGGGUAGCAAACAGGAUUAGAUACCCGAGUAGUC